CCGACACUGGGACUGAGACACGGCCCAGACUCCUACGGGAGGCAGCAGUGGGGAAUUUUCCGCAAUGGGCGAAAGCCUGACGGAGCAAGACCGCGUGGGGGAAGAAGGCUCUUGGGUUGUAAACCCCUUUUCUCUGGGAAGAAAGUUGUGAAAGCAACCUGACGGUACCAGAGGAAUCAGCAUCGGCUAACUACGUGCCAGCAGCCGCGGUAAUACGUAGGGUGCGAGCGUUAUCCGGAAUUAUUGGGCGUAAAGAGCUCGUAGGCGGUUUGUCGCGUCUGUCGUGAAAGUCCGGGGCUUAACCCCGGAUCUGCGGUGGGUACGGGCAGACUAGAGUGCAGUAGGGGAGACUGGAAUUCCUGGUGUAGCGGUAGAAUGCGCAGAUAUCAGGAGGAACACCGAUGGCGAAGGCAGGUCUCUGGGCUGUAACUGACGCUGAGGAGCGAAAGCAUGGGGAGCGAACAGGAUUAGAUACCCUGGUAGUCCAUGCCGUAAACGUUGGGCACUAGGUGUGGGGACCAUUCCACGGUUUCCGCGCCGCAGCUAACGCGUUAAGU
rnacentral:rRNA from 1 species